rnacentral:rRNA from 1 species
UAUUGGGCGUAAGCGCGCGCAGGUGGUUCUUUAAGUCUGAUGUGAAAGCCCACGGCUCAACCGUGGAGGGUCAUUGGAAACUGGGGAACUUGAGUGCAGAAGAGGAAAGUGGAAUUCCACGUGUAGCGGUGAAAUGCGUAGAGAUGUGGAGGAACACCAGUGGCGAAGGCGACUUUCUGGUCUGUAACUGACACUGAGGCGCGAAAGCGUGGGGAGCGAACAGGAUUAGAUACCCUGGUAGUCCACGCCGUAAACGAUGAGUGCUAAGUGUUAGAGGGUUUCCGCCCUUUAGUGCUGCAGCUAACGCAUUAAGCACUCCGCCUGGGGAGUACGGCCGCAAGGCUGAAACUCAAAGGAAUUGACGGGGGCCCGCACAAGCGGUGGAGCAUGUGGUUUAAUUCGAAGCAACGCGAAGAACCUUACCAGGUCUUGACAUCCUCUGACAACCCUAGAGAUAGGGCCUUCCCCUUUUGGGGGACAGAGUGACAGGUGGUGCAUGGUUGUCGUCAGCUCGUGUCGUGAGAUGUUGGGUUAAGUCCCGCAACGAGCGCAACCCUUGAUCUUAGCUGCCAGCAUUCAGUUGGGCACUCUAAGGUGACUGCCGGUGACAAACCGGAGGAAGGUGGGGAUGACGUCAAACCAUCAUGCCCCUUAUGACCUGGGCUACACACGUGCUACAAUGGAUGGUACAAAGAGCCCGCAAACCCGCGAGGGUAAGCUAAUCUCAUAAAGCCAUUCUCAGUUCGGAUUGCAGGCUGCAACUCGCCUGCAUGAAGCCGGAAUCGCUAGUAAUCGCGGAUCANCAUGCCGCGGNGAAUACGUUCCCGGGNCNUGUACACACCGCCCGUCACACCACGAGAGUUUGUAACACCCGAAGUCGGUGA